rnacentral:rRNA from 1 species
UACGUAGGUGGCGAGCGUUGUCCGGAAUUACUGGGUGUAAAGGGAGUGUAGGCGGGAGAGCAAGUCAGAAGUGAAAAUUAUGGGCUUAACCCAUAACCUGCUUUUGAAACUGUCCUUCUUGAGUGAAGUAGAGGCAAGCGGAAUUCCUAGUGUAGCGGUGAAAUGCAUAGAUAUUAGGAGGAACACCAGUGGCGAAGGCGGCUUGCUGGGCUUUUACUGACGCUGAGGCUCGAAAGCGUGGGGAGCAAACAGG